rnacentral:lncRNA from 1 species
UCUCCACCCUCCAGCAGUCUCUCUCUCUCUCUCUCUCUCUCUCUCUUUCAUUAGGUAACUUCCUCCUCUGCAGUCAGUCCUUCAGAGUCUCAGAGCUUCACCUUCAUUCCAGCAAACAUGAGCAAAUGCUUCAAGUCCGUGAAGUACGCCCUGCUCGUCUUCAACAUGCUGGUUGCUAUCGUUGGAGUUGAGAUGCUGAUCUUCACUGUUCGAGCGACAAAUGGCACCUCGGAGUUGGACAAGUCCUUGUUGAGUCCAGGUCAUCUGAUCCAGUACUGGCUCACCACCAUCGCCAUCUUCGGCCUCGCCGCUCUGGGCACGUACGGCAGCGACAGCGAGAAGAGGACCCCGCUCAUCGUGUUCUGUGUCCUGAUGUGGAUUGUCUCGGUCAUCAUGGUGUUCUACAGCAUCACCACCGCCGUGAUCAUCUUCAGGUUCACAUCUGUAAUUUGGCCCGGCGAAGAGCAGGGGGUGAUGAAGCCCUUCAACAUUGCGUUGGGACUCUUCAUUGGAGCCGGUGUCCUCUCGUUUGUGGGCGGGCUCCUGUCCAAGCUCCUGGUGGAUCAGAUCAAACAGCGCGGCGAAGCUCAGAGUUCGAUCCCCGCCGAAGGAUUCCCCUUCACUCCUGAUCGAUCAGUGCUAGCAUGAGAAACCUCUGCUGCAUCGGAGAAACAAGAUGCCCAUUUCCUGUUUCUGACACAAAUGUCACUUUUUCAUAAAAGUGAUACAUUUGUAUUUCAAUAAAGAUACUUUCACAUUUUCAAUCUUUUCCUAUCUUUAUGAUUUUCUCAUAGAAACUGAAGGAAGACUGCUUAAAGGGGCUGUAUCCUGCUUUUUUAGCUAGUCCAAACCCCAGAAAUGGCAUUAACAUGGUAAUAGUUUAUUUUUGGCUCGAAGGAAAAGUCAUUUUGUGUGAAAUAAAAGAUUUUCUGGGGCUAAUUCUGAAACCCGGAAGAGAAAACAUUCUGUUUCACUGAAAUCCCGCCUCUCCCCCUGUGGACUUUGACUGACAGCUACUUCAACCAAUCAGCGCUUCAAAACAAAUAUGCUAGCUAGCUUUAGCUCUUUAGCUCGAGCUUCUCCACCCGCAAAAACGUCUUUUCCUGUUAGAAACUCACCAAGCGCAGACCCUCCAGACCCUCCAGACCCUCCAGACCCUCCAGACCCUUCGGACCCUCCAG